GAUGAACGCUGGCGGCGUGCCUAAUACAUGCCAGUCGAGCGAACAGACGAGGAGCUUGCUCCUCUGACGUUAGCGGCGGACGGGUGAGUAACACGUGGAUAACCUACCUAUAAGACUGGGAUAACUUCGGGAAACCGGAGUUAAUACCGGAUAAUAUAUUGAACCGCAUGGUUCAAUAGUGAAAGACGGUUUUGCUGUCACUUAUAGAUGGAUCCGCGCCGCAUUAGCUAGUUGGUAAGGUAACGGCUUACCAAGGCGACGAUGCGUAGCCGACCUGAGAGGGUGAUCGGCCACACUGGAACUGAGACACGGUCCAGACUCCUACGGGAGGCAGCAGUAGGGAAUCUUCCGCAAUGGGCGAAAGCCUGACGGAGCAACGCCGCGUGAGUGAUGAAGGUCUUCGGAUCGUAAAACUCUGUUAUUAGGGAAGAACAAAUGUGUAAGUAACUAUGCACGUCUUGACGGUACCUAAUCAGAAAGCCACGGCUAACUACGUG
rnacentral:rRNA from 1 species